rnacentral:rRNA from 1 species
AUUGAACGCUGGCGGCAGGCUUAACACAUGCAAGUCGAGCGGAUCACUUCGGUGGUUAGCGGCGAACGGGUGAGUAAUACCUAGGAAUCUGCCUAUUAGUGGGGGAUAACGAAUCGAAAGGUUCGCUAAUACCGCAUACGUCCUACGGGAGAAAGAGGGGGAUCUUCGGACCUCUUGCUAAUAGAUGAGCCUAGGUCGGAUUAGCUAGUUGGUAGGGUAAAGGCCUACCAAGGCGACGAUCUGUAGCUGGUCUGAGAGGAUAGCCAGCCACACUGGAACUGAGACACGGUCCAGACUCCUACGGGAGGCAGCAGUGGGGAAUAUUGGACAAUGGGGGCAACCCUGAUCCAGCCAUGCCGCGUGUGUGAAGAAGGCCUUCAGGUUGUAAAGCACUUUAAGCGAGGAGGAAGGUCAUCUUACUAAUAUUAGGAUGAAUUGACGUUACUCGCAGAAUAAGCACCGGCUAACUCUGUGCCAGCCGCCGCAGUAACC